CCACCUUUUUAUCGAGCAUAGCUGAAUCCUCCACCGUGACAAGGCCAGUAUCAGAAUAAAAUUUGGGAAGCCAAACUCUGGGAAAUUGAGUAUUUCGUUCUGGGAUGUGUACCGUAGGAUACACCAUUAGCUGUGGUAGGGGUGCAGAAAUUUGUGGUGAAGAUUCGAUAGUGGGAAGAUUUGGCUCAGGUAAAGCUAAAGUUAGGUCUAAGUUCAGCUGAGAUGAUGAGGAUGCCAUAGGUUGCUUAGCUUGAGUAAUGGACGGAAGUAAUAAUGAUUUGGUUUUCAAAAGCUUGAGAUUGAUUGUGUUUUAGUGUGUAUGUGAUGAAUUUUAUUUAUAGAAAAAUGUGUUGAACUGUUGGGUCAUUGGAUCCUUGAAUUUGUUUGUUUUCAAGAUAGAUAUCACAGAUUUUAUCUUGUUCAAUGUGUUACGCUAUCCUCUCUGAUGAUGAAAGUCAAACUUAUUAGAUGUUGUCGACAUGGAAAUCACUUCUAUUGAUUUUGCGAUCCUGAUUUGAACAUGGAAACAAUUUGUAAAUUGUUGAAUGAAUCGAGGUGAUAAAUGUUAUUUACUGAAUUACUAUGUAGUGUGAAUUACUUUCGGCGAUUAAAUUAUAGUAUAUUAGCUGUUUUAUCCCGAAAGUAAGAUAAUGUAUUACUUGUGUGAAGUGAUGACUGAGUAUUAUUGGUAUAGGUGUUGAAAUGAGACAUGUCUAACUUAUUAGACAUGUGAGAAUUAUUCGUUUUCGUAGAUGAAGUGGUGGAUUGGUCAGUCAAGACUUAUCCCAUGUUUUAUUCAAUGAAGGGAUACUAAGCUAAGUGUGUGAAUUUCCGAGUGGCCACGGUUAUUUGCAUUCUAGCAUAGUAUCAAUAUGCCCUUUAUUAUUUUAUACAUUUGGAAACAAUUUUGAUUUUUAAAUGUUUUCUUAGAGAAAGAAUGAGAGUCAGGCUUUUCUGAACUGGUACCUAAUGAAUGGCCUAUCUCACUAUUUCUCAUUCAGGGCAAGAAGUCGGUUUUGACAACGAAAGGGUUUCACAGAGACUUGGUUUUAAAGAAUAAUCUUCAUCGGCUAUAUAAUUGUUUUCUAGUUAUCCAAUUUUUUUUAUGUCGAAAAACUUUCUAUUGAACAAACUUGUUGCUCAAUUUAGCAUCUAUUAUCAAGGUAUAACCAGUCAAUUGCAUCUGCUUAAAAAAAAAAAAAAAAAAAAAAAAUUGACUGUAAGACAUGAAGAUCAAGGAUGUUUUCAUGAUGAUGGUCAUUUUCUCUUCUUACGUUAUGUGGUUUGUGUUCAAAAGUAUGGAUGAUGAGGAUUCGUUUGUAUUUUCGUAUACAUUCAUUGUAAUUUAUACUAUUGUUAUAGCUUAUUUCCUUUCUAUCUAUAUUGUAGUCCUCAUGUGAGGUGUUUACACAUCCUCGCCUUUUUAUAUAUGAUAAGGAUUACAAGAAGUCAGGAAUAAGUUUUGUUUUCGGGGUGAAAGUAAGUGUUGUGUAUAAAAUCUUAUGCUGUGAAAUGUUGUUCUGUUUAUUUGUAAUGGUAGUUAUUGUCUCCGAUUAUCAAAUUUUAGUUUGAAAUUUCGAGGACGAAAUUAUUUUAACGGGGGAAGGAUUGUAAUAUCCAACAUUUUCAUAAUACAUUUAUUUAUUAUAAAUCAAAGUUUUAAUACAUAAAAUGUACAACUUUACAAAUUUAAGAAAUAGUAAUGGAAAAAUAGUGUUUAAAAUAUGAUUUUAUGUUUUUAAUGAGAUUAAAGAAAGAGAAACUUGAGUAGUCAAGUAUUGGACCCAAAUGUCAAAUAAUUUUAAUUGGGGAUUUUUAUAAAAUUAAGAAAGUUUGGCUAAAGGGCUUAUUUGAAAAGAAUUUUAGUAUUUUGGGUCCAAGUGUAAUUUUUAAAAAUAAAUAAAUAAAAAAAAAAUAAAAUAAAAUAAAAGGCUUCAGCCUUUCAUUUUACCCGAGCCCCUCUCUCUCUCUCCUCAGAAACCCUCUCUCUCUCUCUCCUCAGAAACUCUCUCUCUCUCUCUCUCUCUCUCUCUCUCUCUCCUCUGCGUAUUACUGUUGCCGACGACGCAGGAGUACUUUCCGGCCACCAUUUUUAGCCACGCGCCGGACCGUUGGAUUCAGAGGCCUCCGAACUAUCGACCCACGCGGGAAUCUAGAGCUCACUCGCCGAUUAAACGCCUCAACCACUCGAUUUAAGUUCGGCCACCCCGCGACUUCAAAGUUGCGAUUCAGCCACCUCGGGCAUCCGUUUGCCGAUCCGUCACCACCAUCGUGUUCCUCGUGUUGUGGGCUUCAAAACCCAAUAACUUGUUCCUACAUCUACCAUAGUUGGGUGGUGGGCCCACCACGAGCCACCGCGAUCCACCGUAGACCGACGGUCGAAACUUAGUGUUCGAGGUUCCGAAGUACGUUUUGAGUCUCAGAAAAUCAUCGUUUGACUUAUUGUGGAACCCGAUCAUUUUGGAUUUGUAUGGAUUUGAUUGAUUGACUCUUGGUGAGCCGUUUUAAAAUAAGCUAAGGACCUAAGGUGUGGCUUUAGCUGUUGAGCAACUUGUGGAGCACGGACUCAGUAGCAAUGCAAUAAUGGUUUUAGAGUUUUCAUAUGGCUGCCUUAAAUUUAAAGUAUUCAUACGUGUAAUAAUUUCUUCUAAUAAGUUUAUAUAAAAGUUUUAAAUUUUUCUGUA